GUCAGUAUUUAUAUUUUGAUUUGAAAUCAAUAAUUUAAGUAGUUGUGUUACUUUGCUGAUU
rnacentral:tRNA from 1 species